rnacentral:rRNA from 1 species
GCGAAAACUUUACAAUGCUGGCAACAGCGAUAAGGGAACCUCGAGUGCCAGGUUACAAAUCUGGCUGUCGAGAUGCCUAAAAAGCAUUUCAUAGCAAGGGCCGGGCAAGACCGGUGCCAGCCGCCGCGGUAACACCGGCGGCUCGAGUGGUAACCGUUAUUAUUGGGUCUAAAGGGUCUGUAGCCGGCCGGAUAAGUCUCUUGAGAAAUCUGGCAGCUUAACUGUCAGGCUUUCAGGAGAUACUGUCUGGCUCGAGGCCGGGAGAGGUGAGAGGUACUUCAGGGGUAGGGGUGAAAUCUUGUAAUCCUUGAAGGACCACUAGUGGCGAAGGCGUCUCACCAGAACGGACCUGACGGCAAGGGACGAAAGCUAGGGGAACGAACC